GACUAAGCGUACACGGUGGAUGCCCUGGCAGUCAGAGGCGAUGAAGGACGUGCUAAUCUGCGAUAAGCGUCGGUAAGGUGAUAUGAACCGUUAUAACCGGCGAUUUCCGAAUGGGGAAACCCAGUGUGUUUCGACACACUAUCAUUAACUGAAUCCAUAGGUUAAUGAGGCGAACCGGGGGAACUGAAACAUCUAAGUACCCCGAGGAAAAGAAAUCAACCGAGAUUCCCCCAGUAGCGGCGAGCGAACGGGGAGCAGCCCAGAGCCUGAAUCAGUGUGUGUGUUAGUGGAAGCGUCUGGAAAGGCGCGCGAUACAGGGUGACAGCCCCGUACACAAAAAUGCACAUACUGUGAGCUCGAUGAGUAGGGCGGGACACGUGGUAUCCUGUCUGAAUAUGGGGGGACCAUCCUCCAAGGCUAAAUACUCCUGACUGACCGAUAGUGAACCAGUACCGUGAGGGAAAGGCGAAAAGAACCCCGGCGAGGGGAGUGAAAAAGAACCUGAAACCGUGUACGUACAAGCAGUGGGAGCACGCUUAGGCGUGUGACUGCGUACCUUUUGUAUAAUGGGUCAGCGACUUAUAUUCUGUAGCAAGGUUAACCGAAUAGGGGAGCCGAAGGGAAACCGAGUCUUAACUGGGCGUUAAGUUGCAGGGUAUAGACCCGAAACCCGGUGAUCUAGCCAUGGGCAGGUUGAAGGUUGGGUAACACUAACUGGAGGACCGAACCGACUAAUGUUGAAAAAUUAGCGGAUGACUUGUGGCUGGGGGUGAAAGGCCAAUCAAACCGGGAGAUAGCUGGUUCUCCCCGAAAGCUAUUUAGGUAGCGCCUCGUGAAUUCAUCUCCGGGGGUAGAGCACUGUUUCGGCAAGGGGGUCAUCCCGACUUACCAACCCGAUGCAAACUGCGAAUACCGGAGAAUGUUAUCACGGGAGACACACGGCGGGUGCUAACGUCCGUCGUGAAGAGGGAAACAACCCAGACCGCCAGCUAAGGUCCCAAAGUCAUGGUUAAGUGGGAAACGAUGUGGGAAGGCCCAGACAGCCAGGAUGUUGGCUUAGAAGCAGCCAUCAUUUAAAGAAAGCGUAAUAGCUCACUGGUCGAGUCGGCCUGCGCGGAAGAUGUAACGGGGCUAAACCAUGCACCGAAGCUGCGGCAGCGACGCUGAUGCGUUGUUGGGUAGGGGAGCGUUCUGUAAGCCUGCGAAGGUGUGCUGUGAGGCAUGCUGGAGGUAUCAGAAGUGCGAAUGCUGACAUAAGUAACGAUAAAGCGGGUGAAAAGCCCGCUCGCCGGAAGACCAAGGGUUCCUGUCCAACGUUAAUCGGGGCAGGGUGAGUCGACCCCUAAGGCGAGGCCGAAAGGCGUAGUCGAUGGGAAACAGGUUAAUAUUCCUGUACUUGGUGUUACUGCGAAGGGGGGACGGAGAAGGCUAUGUUGGCCGGGCGACGGUUGUCCCGGUUUAAGCGUGUAGGCUGGUUUUCCAGGCAAAUCCGGAAAAUCAAGGCUGAGGCGUGAUGACGAGGCACUACGGUGCUGAAGCAACAAAUGCCCUGCUUCCAGGAAAAGCCUCUAAGCAUCAGGUAACAUCAAAUCGUACCCCAAACCGACACAGGUGGUCAGGUAGAGAAUACCAAGGCGCUUGAGAGAACUCGGGUGAAGGAACUAGGCAAAAUGGUGCCGUAACUUCGGGAGAAGGCACGCUGAUAUGUAGGUGAAGCGACUUGCUCGUGGAGCUGAAAUCAGUCGAAGAUACCAGCUGGCUGCAACUGUUUAUUAAAAACACAGCACUGUGCAAACACGAAAGUGGACGUAUACGGUGUGACGCCUGCCCGGUGCCGGAAGGUUAAUUGAUGGGGUCAGCGCAAGCGAAGCUCUUGAUCGAAGCCCCGGUAAACGGCGGCCGUAACUAUAACGGUCCUAAGGUAGCGAAAUUCCUUGUCGGGUAAGUUCCGACCUGCACGAAUGGCGUAAUGAUGGCCAGGCUGUCUCCACCCGAGACUCAGUGAAAUUGAACUCGCUGUGAAGAUGCAGUGUACCCGCGGCAAGACGGAAAGACCCCGUGAACCUUUACUAUAGCUUGACACUGAACAUUGAGCCUUGAUGUGUAGGAUAGGUGGGAGGCUUUGAAGUGUGGACGCCAGUCUGCAUGGAGCCGACCUUGAAAUACCACCCUUUAAUGUUUGAUGUUCUAACGUUGACCCGUGAUCCGGGUUGCGGACAGUGUCUGGUGGGUAGUUUGACUGGGGCGGUCUCCUCCUAAAGAGUAACGGAGGAGCACGAAGGUUGGCUAAUCCUGGUCGGACAUCAGGAGGUUAGUGCAAUGGCAUAAGCCAGCUUGACUGCGAGCGUGACGGCGCGAGCAGGUGCGAAAGCAGGUCAUAGUGAUCCGGUGGUUCUGAAUGGAAGGGCCAUCGCUCAACGGAUAAAAGGUACUCCGGGGAUAACAGGCUGAUACCGCCCAAGAGUUCAUAUCGACGGCGGUGUUUGGCACCUCGAUGUCGGCUCAUCACAUCCUGGGGCUGAAGUAGGUCCCAAGGGUAUGGCUGUUCGCCAUUUAAAGUGGUACGCGAGCUGGGUUUAGAACGUCGUGAGACAGUUCGGUCCCUAUCUGCCGUGGGCGCUGGAGAACUGAGGGGGGCUGCUCCUAGUACGAGAGGACCGGAGUGGACGCAUCACUGGUGUUCGGGUUGUCAUGCCAAUGGCACUGCCCGGUAGCUAAAUGCGGAAGAGAUAAGUGCUGAAAGCAUCUAAGCACGAAACUUGCCCCGAGAUGAGUUCUCCCUGACUCCUUGAGAGUCCUGAAGGAACGUUGAAGACGACGACGUUGAUAGGCCGGGUGUGUAAGCGCAGCGAUGCGUUGAGCUAACCGGUACUAAUGAACCGUGAGGCUUAACCUUACAACGCCGAAG
rnacentral:rRNA from 1 species